GACGAACGCUGGCGGCGUGCCUAAUACAUGCAAGUAGAACGCUGAAGAGAGGAGCUUGCUCUUCUUGGAUGAGUUGCGAACGGGUGAGUAACGCGUAGGUAACCUGCCUGGUAGCGGGGGAUAACUAUUGGAAACGAUAGCUAAUACCGCAUAACAACAGUUGUUGCAUGACAGCUGUUUAAAAGAUGCAAUUGCAUCACUACCAGAUGGACCUGCGUUGUAUUAGCUAGUUGGUGAGGUAACGGCUCACCAAGGCGACGAUACAUAGCCGACCUGAGAGGGUGAUCGGCCACACUGGGACUGAGACACGGCCCAGACUCCUACGGGAGGCAGCAGUAGGGAAUCUUCGGCAAUGGGGGGAACCCUGACCGAGCAACGCCGCGUGAGUGAAGAAGGUUUUCGGAUCGUAAAGCUCUGUUGUAAGAGAAGAACGGGUGUGAGUGUGGAAAGUUCACACUGUGACG
rnacentral:rRNA from 1 species